UAAGAUUCCAAUGUCUCAGAAAAACGACAGUGCAUGUGUUUCUGAAGAUGAGAUAUGUUAAAUUUCAAAUUUGACAUCUAUGAGCACAGAUUAGCUAUUCUAAACAUUACCUGAAUGGAAAGCCAAAUUGCUUCCAUGACCAUUA